GAACGAGAAAGUGGAGCAAUCCAUGAGUAAAGUGGCGACCGGGUGAGUAACACGUGACUAACCUACCCUCGAGUGUGGAAUAACCUAGGGAAACCUGGGCUAAUACCGCAUAAUGUCUUCGGACCAAAGGAGCAAGUCGCCGGAAGAGGGAUCCGCGGCCGAUUAGCUUGUUGGCGGGGUAAAGGCCCACCAAGGCAAUGAUCGGUAGCCGGUCUGAGAGGAUGGCCGGCCACACUGGAACUGAGACACGGUCCAGACUCCUACGGGAGGCAGCAGUGGGGAAUCUUGCGCAAUGGGCGAAAGCCUGACGCAGCGACGCCGCGUGGGGGAUGAAGCUUCUCGGAGUGUAAACCCCUUUCGACCCGGACGAAAGCCCGCAAGGGCCUGACGGUACGGGUAUAAGAAGCCCCGGCUAACUACGUG
rnacentral:rRNA from 1 species